rnacentral:tRNA from 1 species
GGAAGGGUGGCCGAGUGGUUUAAGGCGCAUGCUUGGAAAGCAUGUACUCGUUUUCACGGGUCGAGGGUUCGAAUCCCUCUCCUUCCG